UACGUAGGGUGCAAGCGUUAAUCGGAAUUACUGGGCGUAAAGCGUGCGCAGGCGGUUCGUUGUGUCGGCGGUGAAAGCCCCGGGCUCAACCUGGGAAUGGCCGUUGAAACUGGCGAACUGGAGUGUGGCAGAGGGGGGUGGAAUUCCGCGUGUAGCAGUGAAAUGCGUAGAGAUGCGGAGGAACACCGAUGGCGAAGGCAGCCCCCUGGGCUGACACUGACGCUCAGGCAUGAAAGCGUGGGGAGCAAACAGG
rnacentral:rRNA from 1 species